CACGUAGUUAGCCGUGACUUUCUGGCGGGGCACCAUCAGUCAGCACCCAUUUCCUGAUGCUGCCUUUUUUCCCCCGCAACAGAGCUUUACGACCCGAAGGCCUUCUUCACUCACGCGGCAUUGCUCGUUCAGGCUUGCGCCCAUUGACGAAAAUUCCCUACUGCUGCCUCCCGCAGGAGUCUGGGCCGUGUCUCAGUCCCAAUGUGGCCGUCCGCCCUCUCAGGCCGGCUAUGCAUCAUCGUCUUGGUGGGCCUUUACCCCGCCAACCACUAAUGCACCGCAGGUCCAUCCGCGCCCCCAUCCCCCUAAAGGAUGUUUCACAGAAAGAAGAUGCCUCCUUCCUGUACAUCGGGAUUUGUUCUCCGUUUCCAGAGCGUAUUCCCGGUGCGCGGGCAGGUUCCCUACGUGUUACUCACCCGUUCGCCACUAGAGACCCGAAGGUCUCUCGUUCGACUUGCAUGUAUUAGGCAUGCCGCCAGCGUUCAUCCUGACGCCAGGA
rnacentral:rRNA from 1 species